rnacentral:rRNA from 1 species
UACGGGAGGCAGCAGUAGGGAAUCUUCGGCAAUGGGGGCAACCCUGACCGAGCAACGCCGCGUGAGUGAAGAAGGUUUUCGGAUCGUAAAACUCUGUUGUUAGAGAAGAACGUUAAGUAGAGUGGAAAAUUACUUAAGUACGGUAUCUAACCAAAAGGACGGCUAACU